rnacentral:rRNA from 1 species
GACGAACGCUGGCGGCGUGCUUAACACAUGCAAGUCGAACGGAAAGGCCCCUUUGGGGGUCCUCGAGUGGCGAACGGGUGAGUAACACGUGAGUAACCUGCCCUUGACUUCGGGAUAACUUCAGGAAACUGGGGCUAAUACCGGAUAGGAAUCCUUGCUGCAUGGUGGGGGUUGGAAAGCUUCGGCGGUUUUGGAUGGACUCGCGGCUUAUCAGCUUGUUGGUGGGGUAGUGGCUUACCAAGGCUUUGACGGGUAGCCGGCCUGAGAGGGCGACCGGCCACCUUGGGACUGAGAUACGGCCCAGACUCCUACGGGAGGCAGCAGUGGGGAAUAUUGCCCAAUGGGCGGAAGCCUGAUGCAGCAACGCCGCGUGCGGGAUGACGGCCUUCGGGUUGUAAACCGCUUUCAGCAGGGGCGAAGCUUGUGGUGACGGUACCUGCAGAAGAAGCACCGGCUAACUACGUG